rnacentral:rRNA from 1 species
GAUGAACGCUGGCGGCGUGCCUAAUACAUGCAAGUCGAGCGAACGGACGAGAAGCUUGCUCCUCUGAUGUUAGCGGCGGACGGGUGAGUAACACGUGGAUAACCUACCUCUAAGACUGGGAUAACUUCGGGAAACCGGAGCUACUACCGGAUAAUAUUUUGAACCGCAUGGUUCAAACGUGAAAGUCGGUCUUGCUGUCACUUAUAGACGGAUCCGCGCUGCAUCAGCUAGUUGGUAAGGUAACGGCUUACCAAGGCAACGAUGCAUAGCCGACCUGAGAGGGUGAUCGGCCACACUGGAACUGAGACACGGUCCAGACUCCUACGGGAGGCAGCAGUAGGGAAUCUUCCGCAAUGGGCGAAAGCCUGACGGAGCAACGCCGCGUGAGUGAUGAAGGUCUUCGGAUCGUAAAACUCUGUUAUUAGGGAAGAACAUAUGUGUAAGUAACUGUGCACAUCUUGACGGUACCGAAUCAGAAAGCCACGGCUAACUACGUG